GGAUUAGAUACCCUGGUAGUCCACGCCGUAAACGAUGCUCACUGGCUUUAUGCGAUACACAGUAUGAGGCUAAGCGAAAGUAAUAAGUGAGCCACCUGGGGAGUACGUCGGCAACGAUGAAACUCAAAGGAAUUGACGGGGGCCCGCACAAGCGGAGGAACAUGUGGUUUAAUUCGAUGAUACGCGAGGAACCUUACCUGGAUUUAAAUGGGAGAUGAUCGUUCUGGAAACGGAAUUUCUCUUCGGAGCAUCUUUCAAGGUGCUGCAUGGUUGUCGUCAGCUCGUGUUG
rnacentral:rRNA from 1 species